rnacentral:lncRNA from 1 species
AAUUCACAGUAUCACCUCAAAUUCUCAUUAUUUUAUUAUUAAACUCAUAUUAAUAAUAAAUUAAAUUUCCCCCAACCUCCUAUUUUGCCAUCAUAUAAUUAAUAAAAUACUUUCUAAUAUAAAACCACAUAUUUUUUUUAUAUUUUUUUAAAUAUUAAUUAAAAAUACAAAUAUUCUAGUUAUUUUGUAAUUAUUCUACCAAGCUCCUGUAUUCUCACCACAUCCUACCAUUACCAUUACACCCCCAACAAUACAUAUUAUCACCAAAUUUCUUUUAAAGGCACAUCAAACACCAAAUUAUUAAAUAAAAAUCUAAAU